rnacentral:lncRNA from 1 species
AAAUGCGGCGAUCAGGGACCAUCCGCGCGAAAAGAAAAGAAAAAAGAAAGAAAAAAAAUCAGAAAAUUUUGGGGUUCAAGAAAAGCAAAAAAUAAUAAUAAUCCCCAGCGGAGCGCAAAUUGUUCAUCUGUUCUUGGUAUUCAAUCACUCUUCACCCUGAUCAUCUGAAAGCCGAGGAUGUUCAUAUCGACAAGUUCACAGUGGACUGAAUAGGGGCAGCUGUAAC